rnacentral:sRNA from 1 species
AAGCAGGUGUACAUGUAGCUAGAGCACUCAUAUACAUAAAAUAAAUAAAUCUUUUAAAAAUGUUAUCUCUUUAUAUGUUACUAAUGGAGAAGCGCAGAAAUUAUAUUUAGGAUGUUUAUGUUUAUCCUGUCUAUACAUUUAGUGAGUGUAGGUGAGACAGAAUAUAGACCUAAUGACUACAUGACUCAAUGUCCAAUGUCAACAGCAUCACAGUUACUCGUGGAGAAUAUUUCCUCUGCUUGGGCUUUAAAUAGUUCAUUUUCCUUUUCUCUAAAAUUUUAUUUUGAAAAAUGCUGGAGGCAUUUUUAAGUCAAAAGUACUUAUUUAAUGAAGAUGUUAAGGAAUGAAUGUGAUCUCUUCCGAAUGUAUUUUUAAAAGGACAAAUAUCCAGAAUUAUGGUAUUUAGACAUGGGACCUUUGAGGGGUAAAGAUGACUAGAUAUGCUCAGAGAACACUGUGGGAUUAGUUGGCUUGUCGUGUGACAAAGGAGCAGCCUCUCCAUGUGGAUGCACCUAGGAAAGGUGAUCUAGACUGUGGGAAAGUGGUUCUCUUUGGCCAGAAGACAGGCUGACCCAGGACUGAAUUAUCUAACACCUUUUGGUGAUGGACUUCCUAUUUCCAAGAACUAAGAAACACGUUUGUUAUUUAAGUAGUCAGUCCAUAAUAUUCUAUUAUGGUGGUGCUGUUUAGAAAAAGUCAGAAAGCUUCCCUAGAAAGUGUGACGUCUGAUCUUGAAAAUUCCUCACCUGUAACUUUUUCGAAAAGGAAGCUUAAAGUGUAUAUUUGUGUGUGACUGCAUGAAGUUUAUGUCUGCCAUGCACAUUCAGAAGACUGGAGAGACCAGAAAAAGGCAUGGGAUCUGUUGGAAGUUGAGUUAAAGAUGGUUGUGGCCCACCACGUGGAAAUUGAACCCGAGUCUUUUGUAAUAGCAGUAAGUACUUUUAAAGACUGAUAAACACCGAACCCUCUCUCCAGCUUCAUCGUCUUCUUACUCAAUAGUAGUAAUUGUUAGCAACAUGAAAUGUUCUUUCAGCCAAUUUCCUCUCAACCUGAGACUGCCUCAAAUUGCUUCUCCCCAAGUAAGUCAGAUGAUAUUUAAACUGAUCUAUUUAAACAUACCCAAUAUGCGUGUGGACAUAAAAGAUACUGAAAUUUUGAUCACUGAUGUGCAUGGACAAAGACUGGCUAGAGUUACCCUAUUAUUUCACUGCACUGUUGGUAUCUUAUCAUCUCCAGUGUAAGAACGCAGACAUUCAGAGAGAGAAGUAGUGUUUUUUUUUUCCAAUAUUAAAAAAUGAUUCAUAAAAUAUUUACAACAAAAUCUAACUAUAAAUACAGUUUUUACAGAACCAUCAAUCAUAUGGUUAGGGAGCUACCUAUGUAAUGAAUAAAGCAAUAUAAUGAGAGUGAUUUCAAAGAAAGAUAUUAAUGGAUCCAUAGAAAAAAUAAACUGUAGGCCUAGCUUCUCGAUAAAACUCAACUAUAGCUUUCCCUGGUGAGGAGGCCCACCUUACCACCCCCACACUCCCAGACCUGCCUGGAGAAAUAGCACCCCCUGGCACUCCCUGGGAAGUCUGUCAACCCCAUCCCCAUACUUCAUUUACACACAUUUACCUGGCAUGUUUCCUGAGCCCACAGCGCCUUCCCCACAUUUCCUGACCAUCCUAUGUCCUGCACUGCUGUACCCUGCAGCUCUCUAGAAUUCCACAUCAGAUGCUGUGUCUUCUUUACCACAGUGAAUUAGGACUAAAAAUAAAUCAGACAUAAUUUAUAAAUAAAUCAGACAUAAUUUAUAAAUAAAUGGAAAUUGAGCAGUGUGCUUUUAAAUAGCCAACAUGGGAGCGGAAAAAAAAAUAGCCAACAUUUCCUGAAUUGAAUGGAAACAAAGAUAAACUGUAUUAUAUACAGUUAUAUCAAGAGCAGUAUUAUAAAAAAAAUGGAUUAAUAAAUACAUAUGUAAAAGAGAAAGAUUAUAAACCACCAAUGAUGUGUUUUACAGACUUAGAAAAUAAAAAAAUAAUUAGGAUAAGGAGAUGUGGUUUAAGUGAAAUUGUCCCCCAUAGGCCCAUAGGGAUUGGCACUGUUAGUAAGUUUAGCCUUGUUGGAGUUGGUGUGGACUUGUUGUGUGUGUGGCUUUGUUGGAGUGGGUUUGGCCUUGUUGGAGGUAGUGUGUCACGGGUAUCAGAAGAUCAAGCCAGGUCCACUGGGUCACUCGCUCUUCCUGCUCUCUGCAGAUUGUAAUUUAGAACUCCUGGCUCCAUCCUGAUGCUUCUUUAGAACUCCUCCAGCAUCAUUUCUUCCUGCCUGCCUCCACGCUUAUUGCCAUGAUGAUAAUGAACUUAAACCUCUGAAAUGCUCUGAGACCAGCCAUGAAGAGGUGGGACGAUGUAAGAAUAAGAGAA